UACGGGGGGGCAAGCGUUGUUCGGAAUUACUGGGCGUAAAGGGCGCGUAGGCGGCACUGUUAGUCAGGCGUGAAAGUCCUGGGCUCAACCUGGGAACUGCGCUUGAUACGGCAGAGCUAGAGGAUGGAAGAGGUCGCGGAAUUCCCAGUGUAGAGGUGAAAUUCGUAGAUAUUGGGAAGAACACCGGUGGCGAAGGCGGCGACCUGGUCCAUUACUGACGCUGAGGCGCGACAG
rnacentral:rRNA from 1 species